rnacentral:pre_miRNA from 1 species
GUUUGAUCUGGAGUUUCCUCAAAACACCUAUAAGAAGCUCACAUUAGCUAAGGGUAUCAGUAGUCAUACUAAAGUUUUUGGGGGAACUCUGGGUGUCAC